rnacentral:rRNA from 1 species
GAAUAGAUACCCGGGUAGUCCACGCCGUAAACGAUGAGUGCUAGGUGUCGGAGGGGUCCACCCUGCGGUGCCGAAGUUAACACAUUAAGCACUCCGCCUGGGGAGUACGGUCGCAAGACUGAAACUCAAAGGAAUUGACGGGGGACCCGCACAAGCAGUGGAGUAUGUGGUUUAAUUCGAAGCAACGCGAAGAACCUUACCAGGUCUUGACAUCCCUCUGACCGGUGCAGAGAUGUGCCUUUCCUUCGGGACAGAGGAGACAGGUGGUGCAUGGUUGUCGUCAGCUCGUGUCGUGAGAUGUUGGGUUAAGUCCCGCAACGAGCGCAACCCUUGACUUUAGUUGCCAGCACUUCGGGUGGGCACUCUAGAGUGACUGCCGGUGACAAACCGGAGGAAGGCGGGGAUGACGUCAAAUCAUCAUGCCCCUUAUGACCUGGGCUACACACGUACUACAAUGGCCGGUACAACGGGCAGCGAAGAAGCGAUCUGGAGCCAAUCCUACCAAAGCCGGUCUCAGUUCGGAUUGCAGGCUG